AUACGUAGGGAGCAAGCGUUGUCCGGAAUUACUGGGUGUAAAGGGAGUGCAGGCGGGACGGCAAGUCAGAUGUGAAAUAUAUGGGCUCAACCCAUAGACUGCAUUUGAAACUGCUGUUCUUGAGUGAAGCAGAGGCAAGCGGAAUUCCUGGUGUAGCGGUGAAAUGCGUAGAUAUAUGGAGGAACACCGGUGGCGAAGGCGGCUACCUGGACAGAGACUGACGCU
rnacentral:rRNA from 1 species